GCGGUGUCCGGCUUCAGUUGCUACACUCGCCGAGUGAGAAGAUUUAGGGAUGUCGGGGCCUAUGCCCCACAUAUCACCAAUGGCCACCACCUCUGCGUCUCCCCUUUAGGAGAGUGUGCUUGGGAGCCGAAGGAUUCCAAGCCAAGAAAGAAUUCAUGAAUUUGCACUUUGAGUCCACGACAGCAGGCAAGAAUGCGCAUGCUCAACCAGACAGAUGAGAAAACACGAGAGGGCGAGCCCAGCACUCGGGAUGGUCUCGUGUUAUGUGGUGCAUCAGCCUGUCACUGUCCUGACUCCCAUCUCCAGUCACCUGGCGUCCUUACUCCUUGAAACUCCAGGACAUGCUGGGACCACAGAACAGCUGGGCCAUCUUGCCUUCUAGAAUUCAGGCUCUCCACACAAGCUUUGUCCUAAGCACUUCUGCCCCUCCUUUUAAGGUUCUAAAGUUGCCAUUGUUUUGAAUCCUUCUCUCUUUUUCCCUUUGAAAAGUAGUGUUAUUGAUAAUAUUAUGGUUUGGAAUUCACAAGUUAUGAAAGUGAAAAGCCUUCUGUCCUUGUUUGUCCAGUCACCUUGUCCGAUCCCUUCCUUGGAAAAAACCAAUUAUCUUUCAAGCCCCCUGUGAAUCCUCCCAGAAAUAUUCUAUGCAGACACUGUACUAAUAAAUGCUAGUGUGAUGUGUA